GAAAUGCGAUAACUAGUGUGAAUUGCAGAAUUCCGUGAAUCAUCGAGUCUUUGAACGCACAUUGCGCCCCCUGGUAUUCCGGGGGGCAUGCCUGUCCGAGCGUCAUUGCUGCCCAUCAAGCACGGCUUGUGUGUUGGGUCGUCGUCCCCUCUCCGGGGGGGACGGGCCCCAAAGGCAGCGGCGGCACCGCGUCCGAUCCUCGAGCGUAUGGGGCUUUGUCACCCGCUCUGUAGGCCCGGCCGGCGCUUGCCGAACGCAAAUCAAUCUUUUUCCAGGUUGACCUCGGAUCAGGUAGUGAUACCCGCUGAACUUAAGC
rnacentral:misc_RNA from 1 species